UAUUACUUGGGGUAAAAUUAAUAUUGAGGUAGUAUUAAUUAUGUUUAUGAAACUUAAAGAAUUUGGCGGUGUUUUGGUCUGUUUAGAGGAAUCUGUUUUUUAAUUGAUAUUCCGCGUUGUAAUUUACUUUAUCUGAGAGUUUAUAUAUCGUCGUUGUGGUAAUGUUGUGAGAUUAUUUUUUUUUUUAAUGAAUGAUUUUCAGAUCCAGGUGUAGCUAUGAUAAAGUUAAAAUGGAUUACAAUAAGAUUUUAUUAAACGGAGUGUAAGUUGUAAUUAUUUACAUGAAGGUGGAUUUAAGAGUAAUUUUUUGUAGAUUGUUAAGGUGAAUAUUGCUCUGGGAUGUGUACAUAUUGCCCGUCACUCUCAUUUAAGG
rnacentral:rRNA from 1 species